UCCCCUCUAGGUACCCUUAAGGAGAAGAUGAAGAAGAGAAGGGCAUUAGAUUACACUAUAGGGCUUCCUUUUUCCCCAAUCUACCCUACUAGGGACGGAGUGCAGUGCACAAUUUGUAAUCGUGCACCACUUUCAGUUGAAGCUGCCAGCAUGAUCUAAACAUACCUCCUUUGUUGAGGACAGAUUAGAUCGUGUGGUAGCUUCACCUGUUGUUGGUGUCACGAAAAACCCUAAUUUCAUCUUAACCCUAAUUUUCAUUACCCUCUCUUUCUCUCUAGAUGCUUACAUGCCCACCAGUGUUUUCCUCAUAAAAUCCCUAAGAAGCUGGUGGGAUCUUGAGAGAGAGACAGACAGAGAGAGGAGGAGGAGGAGGAGGUGGCGGUGGCGGCAGUUGUGGUCGAGCAAGAUCUUGAACCUUGUUCAUUUGCUGCAAACAUUUCUUGGAAUUUUCAAGAUUUCACCUUCCUUCAUGUUCAAUCCUGGCUUACUUAAUAAGCAACUAGGGUUUUUCUUUUCUUCUAA